UACGUAGGUGGCAAGCGUUGUCCGGAAUCAUUGGGCGUAAAGAGCGCGUAGGCGGUCCGGUAAGUCCGCUGUGAAAGUCAAGGGCUCAACCCUUGAAUGCCGGUGGAUACUGUCGGGCUAGAGUCCGGAAGAGGCGAGUGGAAUUCCUGGUGUAGCGGUGAAAUGCGCAGAUAUCAGGAGGAACACCAAUGGCGAAGGCAGCUCGCUGGGACGGUACUGACGCUGAGGCGCGAAAGCGUGGGGAGCAAACAGG
rnacentral:rRNA from 1 species